AAUACCGCAUACGUCCUACGGGAGAAAGCAGGGGACCUUCGGGCCUUGCGCUAUCAGAUGAGCCUAGGUCGGAUUAGCUAGUUGGUGAGGUAAUGGCUCACCAAGGCGACGAUCCGUAACUGGUCUGAGAGGAUGAUCAGUCACACUGGAACUGAGACACGGUCCAGACUCCUACGGGAGGCAGCAGUGGGGAAUAUUGGACAAUGGGCGAAAGCCUGAUCCAGCCAUGCCGCGUGUGUGAAGAAGGUCUUCGGAUUGUAAAGCACUUUAAGUUGGGAGGAAGGGCAGUUACCUAAUACGUAUCUGUUUUGACGUUACCG
rnacentral:rRNA from 1 species